rnacentral:rRNA from 1 species
UACGUAGGGUGCAAGCGUUGUCCGGAAUUAUUGGGCGUAAAGGGCUCGUAGGCGGUUUGUCGCGUCGGGAGUGAAAACACUGGGCUUAACCGAGUGCUUGCUUUCGAUACGGGCAGACUAGAGGUAUGCAGGGGAGAACGGAAUCCGGGUGUAGCGGUGGAAUGCGUAGAGAUCCGGAAGAACACCGGUGGCGAAGGCGGCCUGCUGGGCCAGUUGCUGACACUGAGGCGCGACAGCGUGGGGAGCAAACAGG